UCCAUCAAUAUGUACUAAUCAGCAGAACCAGAAUGAUAAUACAAUUGCCGGAAUGAUUGACAGAACAGCACCUUACUAUGCCCCCAACUCUCAAGAUAUUGAUAACCAAUCUCAAGAUAAUUCUCCCCCAUCAUGUGCAAAGCACAAACUUAUCUCUUUUCUGUCCCAAUUAGCACUAAUCGCCGGAAUAGCAGAUCACC